GGCCGUUUGGCGCAAUGGUAGCGCGUGGACCUCCUAUUUCAGGUCGUAUCACGAACGAAAUAGUCCAAGGUUGCGGGUUCGAGUCCCGUGAUGGUCG